CCUGGCCUCAAGCAAUCCUCCUGCCUCAGCCUCCUAAACUGCUGGGAUUACAGGUGUGAGUCACCACGCCCGGAGAGAAUGGGCAUCACUCAAAGACUUAGUCGGAAGCUGGGGGACGCAGCUGUGCUGAGAAGAAUCAGACGUUCCCCCAACCUCUGCCGGGCUCAUAGGAACAGGCCAAUGAACAAUGAGCCCCUCGACUUCACCUCUAUGUUGUUCCAGUCUUCCCCAACUUUGGCAACAGAGCACGCAUCGCUGGGAACCUCAGCUAAUUAGAUAUGCUGGAAAAUCCAGAUCUCGCCUUCACAUCAGCGACACUAAUCAGACAUGCUGGAAAAAGCAGAAAUCACCUUCACAUCAGAAACGUACCAGGUGUGCACCUGUCUCACCUCUGCAUCAGUGAAAUGACCACUGUUGGUCCCUGCUCUCACCUCAGCAUCAGCAGUACACCCAGGUGUGGUCCUGGUCGUAGUUGUAAGAAGUUGCACACCACACAAGGUUCUCCUUGGAUCCUUUGUUAGUGCAGUUAAAAUAAUUCUUGUUUUUAUAGUUGAAUGGAAAGUGGCAAGGAAAGCCAGGGACCAAUGCGGAAAUUCCUAGGAAGCAGAAGGGGAUAGGACAAAGGUUACUCCCCAGGUUUCACACUGUCAUAGAGGUGUGGGCUUCAGACCCACCCUAGAUUUCAAACUGGGGCUGAGUGUGAUGGGGUCGUGCCUUUAAUCCCAGCACGUUGGGAGACUGAGCCUGGAGGAUCACGUGAAGCCAGGAGUUCAAGACCAGCCUACA